UAAAGAUGAUGGGUUUUGUUG
rnacentral:miRNA from 1 species